CAACUUUUAACAAUGGAUCUCUUGGUUCUGGCAUCGAUGAAGAACGCAGCGAAAUGCGAUAAGUAGUGUGAAUUGCAGAAUUCAGUGAAUCAUCGAAUCUUUGAACGCACAUUGCGCCCCAUGGUAUUCCGUGGGGCAUGCCUGUUCGAGCGUCAUUU
rnacentral:rRNA from 9 species